UUACGGCCAUAUAGCGUAAAAACACCGGUUCCCGUACGAUCACCGAAGUUAAGCAAUGUCGAGUCUGGCCAGUACCUAGAUAGGUGACCGAGUGGAAAUAUCAGGUGCUGUAAG